rnacentral:rRNA from 1 species
UUCGCAAUGCCCGAAAGGGUGACGAAGCGACGCCGCGUGAGCGAAGAAGGCCCUAGGGUUGUAAAGCUCUGUCAGGGGUUAUGAAAUGUAGGCUGGUUAAUACCCAGUUUAUUUGACAAAGGCCCCAAAGGAAGCCACGGCUAACUCUGUGCCAGCAGCCGCGGUAAUACAGAGGUGGCAAGCGUUGUUCGGUAUUAUUGGGCGUAAAGAGCACGUAGGUGGUUUUGUAAGUCAGAUGUGAAAGCCUUCUGUUCAACGGAAGAAUUGCAUCUGAAACUGCAAACCUUGAGUAUAGGAGGGGAGAGUGGAACUUCUGGUGGAGCGGUGAAAUGCGUAGAUAUCAGAAGGAACGUCGGCGGCGAAAGCGACUCUCUGGCCUAUUACUGACACUGAGUGUGCGAAAGCUAGGGGAGCAAACGGGAUUAGAUACCCCGGUAGUCCUAGCCGUAAACGAUGGGCACUAAGUAGAGGGGUUUU